AUUGAACGCUGGCGGCAUGCUUUACACAUGCAAGUCGAACGGCAGCGCGGGCUUCGGCCUGGCGGCGAGUGGCGAACGGGUGAGUAAUACCUCGGAACGUGCCCAGUAGUGGGGGAUAGCUCGCCGAAAGCGGGAUUAAUACCGCAUACGACCUGAGGGUGAAAGCGGGGGAUCUUCGGACCUCGCGCUAUCGGAUCGGCCGAUGGCGGAUUAGCUAGUUGGUGGGGUAAAGGCCUACCAAGGCGACGAUCUGUAGCUGGUCUGAGAGGACGACCAGCCACACUGGGACUGAGACACGGCCCAGACUCCUACGGGAGGCAGCAGUGGGGAAUUUUGGACAAUGGGCGAAAGCCUGAUCCAGCAAUGCCGCGUGUGUGAUGAAGGCCUUCGGGUUGUAAAGCACUUUUGGCUGGGACGAAAAGGACUGUGCCAAUACCACGGUUCGAUGACGGUACCCGCAGAAUAAGCACCGGCUAACUACGUG
rnacentral:rRNA from 1 species